UACGUAGGGUGCAAGCGUUAUCCGGAAUUAUUGGGCGUAAAGAGCUCGUAGGCGGUUUGUCGCGUCUGCCGUGAAAGUCCGGGGCUCAACUCCGGAUCUGCGGUGGGUACGGCAGACUGGAGUACUGCAGGGGGAGACUGGAAUUCCUGGUGUAGCGGUGGAAUGCGCAGAUAUCAGGAGGAACACCGGUGGCGAAGGCGGUUCUCUGGGCCUUACCUGACGCUGGAGGAGCGAAAGCGUGGGGAGCGAACAGG
rnacentral:rRNA from 1 species